UCAAUCUGUGAAAAAAAAUCAUUGAAAUUAAUCUGUAUAUGUUGGGCACAAUGGCUGGAGGAGCUGCAGAUUGUUAAAAAUGGGAGUUUUAUCGCCAAGAUGUCCAGUACAUUGUUAAAAAUGGGAAAGCUCUUAUAAUAAACGAGGUAUUAAAAACAUCGUAUUUUUAUUUUAGGAGAAAAAACUAGUUAUAUUGCUGUAAAUUAAUGUUCAUUUGAAGUUGACGGGGAGAGUGGAAGAAAAAAGACGAUGGUCAGAGGGGAUUCACCUGCCUGUGGAGGCAAAAGAAGGGUUACCAAUCUAGGUAUAUAUUGCGAUUGCCUGCCACAUCAUCAUUCUUUUUGACAACUCUUGUUUAAAGCUAUUACCUUGUAUUCCUCUUGGGCUUUGCAGGCUGAUUCAGUUGUAGUGGCACAAAUCACAUACCAAUCAAUGUUUAAGCUUUAUCCAAAGCUUUCAGGGAUGACAGGAACUGCAAAAACUGAAGAAAAGGAGUUCUUGAAAAUGUUCCAGAUGCCUGUUAUUGAAGUUCCCACAAAUAUGGCAAAUAUUCGUCAUGAUUUACCUAUCCAAGCUUUUGCAAAUGCUCGUGGA